rnacentral:tRNA from 1 species
GGUAGAGUGACCGAGUGGCUAAGGAGCACGCCUGGAACGCGUGUAAGGCGUAACAGCCUCGUGGGUUCAAGUCCCACCUCUAUCG